GGACGAACGCUGGCGGCGUGCCUAACACAUGCAAGUCGAGCGGGGACAUGCGACGGAUCGGAAGUUUCGGAUGGAAGAGAAGAUGUAUGUUCUAGCGGCGGACGGGUGAGUAACGCGUGAGCAACCUGUCCCUUACAGGGGGAUAACACAGCGAAAGUUGUACUAAUACCGCAUAAGACCACGGGGAGACAUCUUCCAGGGGUCAAAGGAGCAAUCCGGUAAGGGUGGGCUCGCGUCCGAUUAGAUAGUUGGUGAGGUAACGGCCCACCAAGUCGACGAUCGGUAGCCGACCUGAGAGGGUCGAUCGGCCACAUUGGGACUGAGACACGGCCCAAACUCCUACGGGAGGCAGCAGUGGGGAAUAUUGCACAAUGGGCGAAAGCCUGAUGCAGCGACGCCCGCGUGAGCGAAGAAGUAUUUCGGUAUGUAAAGCUCUAUCAGCAGGGAAGAUAAUGACGGUACCUGACUAAGAAGCACCGGCUAAAUACGUGCCAGCAGCUGC
rnacentral:rRNA from 1 species